AUGAAGGAAAUUGAUUUUCCUGAAAUCUUGUUAAAAACUGUGUUAGGACAUCAAAGACAAGCAAUUGGACCCUAAUACAUUAUAUGUAUGGACAUUUGUGAACGUGUAAGCAUUCGUUAAUUAGUAUGGGAGACGUUGAUCACUUGGACUCUUCUAACGAUGUAGAUUUAAUUACAGAGACAUCCAAGAGGGAAGAACCUGUUUGUGAAGAAAGGGUGACAGAAGGAAGAUCCUCGAACAGGAAUGUCACUGAAUAUAGCUGUGAUCUUUGUAGCAGAACAUUUCUUUCCGAAGAGGAGGCCUUCGCACACAAAGAAAUACACAAGACAGACAAACCUUUUUGUGAAAUCUGUGAGAAGUUUUUCUUAAGAGAUUCUCAUUUUGUUAUCCACAAACGUAUUCACACGGGAGAGAAACCUUUCCAUUGUGAAAUAUGUAAGAAGUCUUUUAUUUCCAACAGCGAUUUAAAGAGACACAGACGAAUACACACGGGGGAGAAACGGUUUCGUUGCGAAAUCUGUGGAGAAGCUUUUAUUGAAAGAUCGAAACUUGUUAUUCAUAUUCGUCGUCACACUGGAGAAAAACCGUUCGAAUGCGAUGUAUGUUCGAAAUCGUUUGUUACGAAUGGUGAAUUAACGAAACACACGACUUCACACACUCGGGAGAAACCAUUCCACUGUAAAAUAUGCGGAGGAACUUUUAUUGAUAGUUCGAAACUUGUUAUCCACAUUCGUCGUCAUACGGGAGAGAAACCGUUCCAUUGUGAAAUAUGUUCGAAAUCUUUUGUCAGUAAUGGUGAGUUAAGAAAGCACGAAGCUGUACAUAUUCCCCCGAAACCAUUUAAUUGUAAAGUGUGUGAGAAAACGUUCGUUUGUGAUGCAGAUCUUGUUAUUCACGCAUGUGAGCACGCUGGGGGGAAACCUUAUGACUGUGAUCUUUGUGGGAAAUCUUUUAAAUCUGACAGUUACUUGACAAAACAUAGACUCAGACACAGUGGGAAAAAACGCUUUCAUUGUGAUAUCUGUGGGAAAUCUUUCGCCUCUAAGAACAAUGUGGUAAAGCACAAACGGAGACAUACUGGGGAAAACCUGGUUUACUGCGAAACGUGCGGAAAAUCGUUCGUCACCAAAGACGACUUAAACAAACACAAACGAAUUCAUACAGGAGAAAACCCUUUUCCCUGUGAAAUCUGUGGGACAUAUUUUCUUGAUUUUAGCCAUUUAACAACUCAUAAACGAAUUCAUACGGGAGAACGACCGUUUCUCUGUGACAUUUGUGGAAAAUCUUUUGCGCAGAAUUCCUAUUUUAUAGUUCACAGAAGAAUUCAUACGGGAGAAAAACCUUACCGUUGCGAAAUCUGUGGAAAGUGUUUUGUGUGUAAAAGUGAUUUAUCAACUCAUGAACGUACGCACACGGGAUUGAAACCGUUUGAUUGUAAAAUCUGUGGGAAAGCUUUUGCGCGGAAUUCGAAUCUUAUCGUUCACAGAAGAAUACACUCUGGGGAUAAACCGUUCCAUUGCGAAGCCUGUGGCAAGCCGUUCACCUCAAACAGCGAUUUGACGAUCCACAGACGAAUACACACAGGGGAAAAACCGUUUCACUGUAAUAUAUGUGGGAAAAAAUUUAUUGCACACAGUCACUUAAAAAGGCAUGUACAAGUACAUACAAGCGAGGGCCCUAUCAUAUAUGAAACGUGAGGAAGCUUUCUCUUUGAAAUCUAAAUUUAUAAUCCACCAAUCCGAAAUUGAUUUCAAAUUACUCUCAUGUAGCAAUUUCUGUGCAGAUUGCUUCCGUUCACCUGACCUCCUGGUAACUUACAAUUGCAUUCAGAUUUCCAGGUGGUGAGAUGAAAGUGAUUUUAUGCGCAGGGCAUGGUUUGAAAUAGGUUUCAGAUUGCUCCUUCCUCCCCACCCGAAUCCUUUCCCAAAUGCUCAUUAACCUGGUGGUAAAUGAAAGAAUUAUUGGCGAGCUGGCAGAAUCUUUCAAGCAUCAAACCGAAAUGCUUAGUGGCAUUUCUUUCGGGUCUUUACGUUCUGAGUUCAAGUUCUGCCG